rnacentral:lncRNA from 1 species
CUCCCUCCCAGACCACAGACCAGACAAGCAGAUCAUCUGCAGCAAGGAAGGGACCCCGAAUGAAUGGUUCCCAGGGUUCCAUUGCUGCACUGAUAAGAGGUCUCUACUCCAAAUACAGCCCCUGCCCUGACCCUGGCUUAGCACCGCUUAGGAACAUGAGGUGUUCUGCCCCCUACUUUUGGAGGAGACAUCCUGGGCUAUGGUCUUCAUGGCUUGCUCUCAGCUCCUCUGAGAUCUGUGCCAGGCCAAGCCUUUGUGAGCCCAGCCUUGAGUUCCAUGUCCUCCCCAAACUUGGCAGACGGUGCUGCGUCAGCCCAAGGGCUCAGGAGAAUUUGCAAUUAUUGGAUUUGGUCACACAGAGAGUCUGGUAUUUGCAGGCCACAGAGACACACGCCUGUGGCCCUUCCUUGCCGCCUAGAGACUUCGAGCAACCAGAAAGUCGAGCGGGAGUCUGAAGAGCAGCAACACGUGGCACCGGUUGGUGGCCCUGCCGACGGCAUGACGAUCUACAGUCCUCAGGGCCUACCUUAGGGCUUCUUGCUUUUGGAGAAGCAGACCAAAGGAAUGAGACCUAACUUUGAAAAGACUGAAUGAACCAAGCCUUAGGGCAGUUACGAACAAGCCAUACAGUGGAGAAAGCGUCAAAGAUGAUUUAACGUAAAGAGCCAGGAUGGCACUGAUUGGCAGGGCGGAAUUAGUCCAUGGAAAGGUGACUUCUGCAGGUUCUCCUGAGUCUCCCAAAUGAUCAAGUACUAACAAGAACCAGAAAGCCAGCCCAGCAGCCGCGUCUCUGGUUUCUGCCUGAGGAGCUGCCGUCUACCUUGCUGACACGGCUUCCCUCUCAUCCGGAUGAUGAAUCACCUCUUCUGGGAAGAGUCGAGGACCCCUGCCUCCCGCCCUGCCCGCACCAGCUGUGUGGUGUGGCGUGUGGUUGGUACUUCCCUUGGGAGCUGCUGUUGUGUAGAGCCUUGUAUUAGGCGCUGAUUUCACUGUGUGUGCGUCUGGCUCCCGAUGGGCUGAGUGACUCACUGUCUGGAAGUGGCAUGCAGCCCACUACAGGAGCUAUGGAGAGUUGGGGCAGAUGGGAAGACCCCCACCAAGACCUACUUUCUGGAGUAGGUCUACCUUCUGAAAACUGUCAGGACUUAUUUUUUUCUGUUUUUUAAAAGACUGACUAAUAGGAUCGGCCCUCAUGUGGCAGCUGCA